GAGGGUUUAGCUCAAGUGGCAGAGUGCAUGCUUAGCAUGCACGAGAUCCUGGGUUCAGUCCCCAGUACCUCCU
rnacentral:tRNA from 1 species